UGAGGAAUAUUGCACAAUGGGGGCAACCCUGAUGCAGCGACGCCGCGUGGGUGAUGAAGGUUUUCGGAUCGUAAAGCCCUUUUCUGCAUGACGAGCACAGGACGGUAGUGCAGGAAUAAGUGUCGGCUAACUACGUGCCAGCAGCCGCGGUAAAACGUAGGACACAAGCGUUAUCCGGAAUUACUGGGCGUAAAGGGCGUGCAGGCGGUUGCGUAAGUUAGGCGUGAAAGACUUCGGCUAAACCGGGGGAGGUCGUCUGAUACUGCGCAACUAGAGUAUGGUAGAGGCGUGUAGAAUUCCGGGUGUAGUGGUGAAAUGCGUAGAGAUCCGGAGGAAUACCAGUGGCGAAGGCGGCACGCUGGGCCAUAACUGACGCUAAGACGCGAAAGCAUGGGUAGCGAACGGGAUUAGAUACC
rnacentral:rRNA from 1 species